rnacentral:rRNA from 1 species
CCUACGGGGUGCAGCAGUGGGGAAUUUUCGGCAAUGGGGGGAACCCUGACCGAGCAACGCCGCGUGAACGAAGAAGUUAUUCGUAAUGUAAAGUUCUUUUUACAGGGAAGAAAGAGAAAUUUGACGGUACCUGAAGAAUAAUCUCCGGCUAACUACGUGCCAGCAGCCGCGGUAAUACGUAGGGGGCGAGCGUUAUCCGGAAUUAGUGGGCGUAAAGGGUGCGUAGAUGGCACAGUAAGUCUUGUGUAAAAAUGCUGGGCUCAACCCAGUGGGGCAAAAGAUACUGCAAAUCUAGAGUAUGACAGAGGCAAGUGGAACUAGAUGUGUAGCGGUAAAAUGCGUAGAUAUAUGUAAGAACCCCAGUGGCGAAGGCGGCUUGCUGGGUCGAUACUGACAUUGAGGCACGAAAGCGUGGGGAGCGAACAGGAUUAGAUACCCCUGUAGUC